rnacentral:rRNA from 2 species
CCCUAGUAACUGCGAGUGAAGCGGGAAAAGCUCAAAUUUAAAAGCUGGCGGUCUUUGGCCGUCCGCGUUGUAAUCUAGAGAAGUGUUACCCGCGUUGGACCGUGUACAAGUCUCCUGGAAUGGAGCGUCAUAGAGGGUGACAAUCCCGUCUUUGACACGGACUCCCAAGGCUUUGUGGUGCGCUCUCAAAGAGUCGAGUUGUUUGGGAAUGCAGCUCAAAAUGGGUGGUAAAUUCCAUCUAAAGCUAAAUAUUGGCGAGAGACCGAUAGCGAACAAGUACCGUGAGGGAAAGAUGAAAAGAACUUUGGAAAGAGAGUUAAACAGUACGUGAAAUUGCUGAAAGGGAAACGCUUGAAGUCAGUCGCGUCGUCCGGAGAUCAACCUUGCUUUUGCUGGGCGUACUCUCCGGUUGACGGGCCAGCAUCAGUUUUAGUCGCUGGAAAAGGGCGGAGGGAAUGUGGCAUCUUCGGAUGUGUUAUAGCCCUUCGUCGUAUACAGUGGUUGGGACUGAGGAACUCAGCACGCCGCAAGGCCGGGAUUUAUCCACGUUCGUGCUUAGGAUGCUGGCAUAAUGGCUUUAAUCGACCCGUCUUGAAACACGGACCAAGGAGUCUAACAUGCCUGCGAGUGUUUGGGUGGAAAACCCGAGCGCGUAAUGAAAGUGAAAGUUGAGAUCCCUGUCGUGGGGAGCAUCGACGCCCGGACCAGACCUUUUGUGACGGAUCUGCGGUAGAGCAUGUAUGUUGGGACCC